GGGCUGUGGGUUGUUAGUCACAAAGAAUACACACUUUCCUGGACAAAACACUCUACUCAAAUUCAACUCGAGAUGGCUGAUCAGGCACCAGAAGAAGAGACCCCGCCGGAAAAGCCACCACGGUCGAAGGCGAUGAGAAUCGUCCUUAUAGUUCUUCAUGUCCUGCUCCACAUAGUCUUCAUAGCGCACUUUACGGCAGCCACAGUCAUGUUCAUAGUGUUCGACAGGGACUCCGACGAAUGCAGUUCUCGAGCAUCGAAGAAGAACAUUCUGUGCGAUAUCAACUGGUGCCAUGGGUAUGGGUUCCUCAUAGUUAUUUUCGUCUUGUUCUAUAUACUCUGGCUGUAUUACUGGGUAUUCAAGCCAUAUGUGGGCAUCAAGCUGUAUAACAAUUACCUGGAACCAGCGAUUGACAAAUGGAUUGUGUUCAGUCGCCAGUUGAUAGUUUCCGGCAUAAUGCUGCUGAUUGUGAUCUCACUGGCGGUGGCCUACCUCGGCUAUGAGUGCCGCUAUGAUGGCACCAAGGCCAUAGGCCUGGCGGGACCCGUGUCCUUCAUCCUGAUUGGAUUCGCGGUGUCCAAGCACCACAAAAGGGUUCCCUGGCGCAUCGUGACCCAUGGUAUCCUAGGUCAGCUCCUGCUGGGCAUCUUUUGCCUGCGUGUCCCCUUCGGCCGCGCCAUUUUCGAAUGUCUGGGCGAGAAGGUGACUAUUUUUCUGAACUUCGCCCAGCACGGAGCCCGCUUCGUGUACGGCGAUCGCAUAUGUGACGACUAUGUGUUCGCCUUUGCCAUUCUGGCGGUGGUGUUCUUCUUCAGCGUGGUCUCGAGCAUCAUGUACUAUUUGGGCUGGAUGCAGUUCAUCCUGAGCGGCCUGGGGUUCUUGCUGCAGGCCAUGGUGGGCACCACGGUCUGUGAGAGCGUGAACGCAGCGGCUAACAUCUUCGUGGGCAUGUCCGAGAGCCCCCUGGUCAUCCGGCCGUACAUCCUCAUACUGACCGUGAGCGAGUUGCACACCAUCUGCACCUCCGGUUAUGCCACGGUGGCGGGCACCGUUCUGGGGGCCUAUGUGAGCUUCGGGGCCUCACCCGCCUUCCUGAUCACGGCCAGCGUGAUGGCUGCUCCGGGCUCCCUGGCCUUCUCCAAGCUGUUUUACCCCGAAACCGAGGAGUCGCUGACCAGGUCCGACAACAUACAGCUGGAAAAAUCGGAAGAUACGUCUAUUUUGGAUGCAGCCGCCAGCGGAGCAGCGGCAGCCUUGAUGAUUGUGCUGGGAAUUGUGUCGAACAUCAUUGCCUUUCUGGCCAUACUGUUCUUCCUUAACGCCCUAACCGAGUGGACUUUUGAGCUGGUCGGUCUGAAGAACAUCACCCUGCUCUUCCUGCUCUCUCAGGCGUUUGUCCCAAUAGUCUUCCUGAUGGGUGUGCCGUGGCGGGACUGUCAAGAAGUUGGGAUGGUGGUGGCCGAGAAAUCGCUGAUCAACGAGUUCAUCGCCUACAAGCACCUGGGGCAGUUGGUAAAGGACAAUAAGAUAGGGUCAAGGAGCGCUUCGAUUGCCACCUUUGCGCUGUGCGGAUUCGCCAACCCCGGCUCACUGGGCAUCCUCAUCGCUGCCCUGAGUGCAAUGGCACCUACACGACGUUCAGAUAUUACUCGAGUUGCCCUUCGAGCAUAUUUUGCUGGCAGUUUUGUCAGCUUUACAUCGGCAUCGUUUGCGGGUAUUCUAAUUCAAGACGAUUUUAUAUCCUAAAGCGAUAAAAAAUACUUGCAUCACACUGUGUAAACCAGAAUUACCCUGAAGGAAAUUGAAAUUAUCCCAGUCGGCUUCAUCGAAGGCCCCACUAGACUGGCCCAGUUGGAGUGAGC